rnacentral:rRNA from 1 species
AUUGAACGCUGGCGGCAGGCCUAACACAUGCAAGUCGAGCGGAUGAAGAGAGCUUGCUCUCUGAUUUAGCGGCGGACGGGUGAGUAAUGCCUAGGAAUCUGCCUGGUAGUGGGGGAUGACGUCCGGAAACGGGCGCUAAUACCGCAUACGUCCUACGGGAGAAAGCAGGGGACCUUCGGGCCUUGCGCUAUCAGAUGAGCCUAGGUCGGAUUAGCUAGUUGGUGAGGUAAUGGCUCACCAAGGCUACGAUCCGUAACUGGUCUGAGAGGAUGAUCAGUCACACCGGAACUGAGACACGGUCCAGACUCCUACGGGAGGCAGCAGUGGGGAAUAUUGGACAAUGGGCGAAAGCCUGAUCCAGCCAUGCCGCGUGUGUGAAGAAGGUCUUCGGAUUGUAAAGCACUUUAAGUUGGGAGGAAGGGCAGUAAGUUAAUACCUUGCUGUUUUGACGUUACCGACAGAAUAAGCACCGGCUAACUUCGUGCCAGCAGCCGCAGUAAUAC